rnacentral:rRNA from 1 species
GACGAACCGUGCGAACGUUGUUCGGAAUCACUGGGCUUAAAGGGCGCGUAGGCGGGCUACCAAGUCUGUGGUGAAAUCCUCCAGCUCAACUGGAGAACGGCCGUGGAUACUGGGAGCCUCGAGGGAGAUAGGGGCAGGCGGAACUGAUGGUGGAGCGGUGAAAUGCGUUGAUAUCAUCAGGAACUCCGGUGGCGAAGGCGGCCUGCUGGAUCUCAUCUGACGCUGAUGCGCGAAAGCCAGGGGAGCAAACGGG